GACAGAGGGUGCAAACGUUGUUCGGAAUUACUGGGCGUAAAGCGCGUGUAGGCGGCUACGUAAGUCGGACGUGAAAUCCCACGGCUCAACCGUGGAAGAGCGCUCGAAACUGUGUAGCUUGAGUCCUGGAGAGGAAAGCGGAAUACUUGGUGUAGAGGUGAAAUUCGUAGAUAUCAGGUAGAACACCAGUGGCGAAGGCGGCUUUCUGGACAGUGACUGACGCUGAGACGCGAAAGCGUGGGGAGCAAACAGG
rnacentral:rRNA from 1 species